GCUUAGUCAGAUGCUGCAGACCCGAAACGAAGUGAUCUAUCCAUGAGCAAGUUGAAGCUAGUGUAAGAACUAGUGGAGGACUGAACCCAUAGGCGUUGAAAAGCCCCGGGAUGACUUGUGGAUAGGGGUGAAAGGCCAAUCAAACUUCGUGAUAGCUGGUUCUCUCCGAAAUAUAUUUAGGUAUAGCGUUGUGUCGUAAUAUAAGGGGGUAGAGCACUGAAUGGGCUAGGGCAUACACCAAUGUACCAAACCCUAUCAAACUCCGAAUACCUUAUAUGUAAUCACAGCAGUCAGGCGGCGAGUGAUAAAAUCCGUCGUCAAGAGGGAAACAACCCAGACUACCAGCUAAGGUCCCUAAAUCUUACUUAAGUGGAAAACGAUGUGAAGUUACUUAAACAACCAGGAGGUUGGCUUAGAAGCAGCCAUCCUUUAAAGAAAGCGUAAUAGCUCACUGGUCUAGUGAUUUUGCGCGGAAAAUAUAACGGGGCUAAAGUAAGUACCGAAGCUGUAGACUUGCGCACAACUUAGAUUAUUUAAGUUUAGAAUAUGAGAAACUAAGUUAUAUGUUUAGUUAUAUUUUUACUGAUUUUUAUAGAGUAAAGAUAGAAAUAAAACUUAGUAAAAUCAGUAAAAAUAUUCUUAGACUAAAGUUAAGUAGUUUAAGUUGUGUGCAAGUGGUAGGAGAGCGUUCUAUUUGCGUCGAAGGUAUACCGGUAAGGAGUGCUGGAGCGAAUAGAAGUGAGCAUGCAGGCAUGAGUAGCGAUAAUUAAUGUGAGAAUCAUUAACGCCGUAAACCCAAGGUUUCCUACGCGAUGCUCGUCAUCGUAGGGUUAGUCGGGUCCUAAGUCGAGUCCGAAAGGGGUAGACGAUGGCAAAUUGGUUAAUAUUCCAAUACCAACAUUAGUGUGCGAUGGAAGGACGCUUAGGGCUAAGGGGGCUAGCGGAUGGAAGUGCUAGUCUAAGGUCGUAGGAGGUUAUACAGGCAAAUCCGUAUAACAAUACUCCGAGAACUGAAAGGCUUUUUGAAGUCUUCGGAUGGAUAGAAGAACCCCUGAUGCCGUCGAGCCAAGAAAAGUUUCUAAGUUUAGCUAAUGUUGCCCGUACCGUAAACCGACACAGGUGGGUGGGAUGAGUAUUCUAAGGCGCGUGGAAGAACUCUCUUUAAGGAACUCUGCAAAAUAGCACCGUAUCUUCGGUAUAAGGUGUGGUUAGCUUUGUAUUAGGAUUUACUCCGAAAGCAAGGAAACUUACAACAAAGAGUCCCUCCCGACUGUUUACCAAAAACACAGCACUCUGCUAACUCGUAAGAGGAUGUAUAGGGUGUGACGCCUGCCCGGUGCUCGAAGGUUAAUUGAUGGGGUUAGCAUUAGCGAAGCUCUUGAUCGAAGCCCGAGUAAACGGCGGCCGUAACUAUAACGGUCCUAAGGUAGCGAAAUUCCUUGUCGGUUAAAUACCGACCUGCAUGAAUGGCGUAACGAGAUGGGAGCUGUCUCAAAGAGGGAUCCAGUGAAAUUGUAGUGGAGGUGAAAAUUCCUCCUACCCGCGGCAAGACGGAAAGACCCCGUGGACCUUUACUACAGCUUGACACUGCUACUUGGAUAAGAAUGUGCAGGAUAGGUGGGAGGCUUUGAGUAUAUGACGCCAGUUGUAUAUGAGCCAUUGUUGAGAUACCACUCUUUCUUAUUUGGGUAGCUAACCAGCUUGAGUUAUCCUCAAGUGGGACAAUGUCUGGUGGGUAGUUUGACUGGGGCGGUCGCCUCCCAAAUAAUAACGGAGGCUUACAAAGGUUGGCUCAGAACGGUUGGAAAUCGUUCGUAGAGUAUAAAGGUAUAAGCCAGCUUAACUGCAAGACAUACAAGUCAAGCAGAGACGAAAGUCGGUCUUAGUGAUCCGGUGGUUCUGUGUGGAAGGGCCAUCGCUCAAAGGAUAAAAGGUACCCCGGGGAUAACAGGCUGAUCUCCCCCAAGAGCUCACAUCGACGGGGAGGUUUGGCACCUCGAUGUCGGCUCAUCGCAUCCUGGGGCUGGAGCAGGUCCCAAGGGUAUGGCUGUUCGCCAUUUAAAGCGGUACGCGAGCUGGGUUCAGAACGUCGUGAGACAGUUCGGUCCCUAUCUGCCGUGGGCGUAAGAAGAUUGAAGAGAUUUGACCCUAGUACGAGAGGACCGGGUUGAACAAACCACUGGUGUAGCUGUUGUUCUGCCAAGAGCAUCGCAGCGUAGCUAAGUUUGGAAAGGAUAAACGCUGAAAGCAUCUAAGCGUGAAGCCAACUCUAAGAUGAAUCUUCUCUAAGCUCUCUAGAAGACUACUAGUUUGAUAGGCUGGGUGUGUAAUGGAUGAAAGUCCUUUAGCUGACCAGUACUAAUAGAGCGUUUGGCUUAUCUUUAAUAAAGCAU
rnacentral:rRNA from 1 species